CACGUAGGGUGCGAGCGUUGUCCGGAAUUAUUGGGCGUAAAGAGCUCGUAGGCGGUGUGUCACGUCGGCCGUGAAAACCUGCAGCUUAACUGUGGGCGUGCGGUCGAUACGGGCAUCACUGGAGUUCGGCAGGGGAGACUGGAAUUCCUGGUGUAGCGGUGAAAUGCGUAGAUAUCGGGAGGAACACCAGUGGCGAAGGCGACUUCCUGGCCUGUUCUUGACGCUGAGGCGCGAAAGCGUGGGGAGCAAACAGG
rnacentral:rRNA from 1 species